rnacentral:rRNA from 1 species
UACAGAGGGGGCAAGCGUUGUUCGGAAUUACUGGGCGUAAAGGGCGCGUAGGCGGCCUGCUAAGUCGAACGUGAAAUCCCUGGGCUCAACCCAGGAACUGCGUCCGAUACUGGUUGGCUUGAAUCCGGGAGAGGGACGUGGAAUUCCAGGUGUAGCGGUGGAAUGCGUAGAGAUCCGGAAGAACACCGGUGGCGAAGGCGGCCUGCUGGGCAGUUGCUGACACUGAGGCGCGACAGCGUGGGGAGCAAACAGG